GACGAACGCUAGCGGCGUGCCUAAUGUAUGCAAGUCGAACGGCCCGCAAGGGUAGUGGCGAACGGUUGAGUAACACGUAGACAACCUGCCUCCAGGUGGGGGAUAACAGCUCGAAAGGGCUGCUAAUACCGCAUAUGGCGCCCCGUGGCAUCACGGGAGGGCUAAAGGAGCAAUUCGCCUGGAGAUGGGUCUGCGGCCUAUCAGCUAGUUGGUGGGGUAACGGCCUACCAAGGCGACGACGGGUAGCUGGUCUGAGAGGAUGAUCAGCCAGACGGGGACUGAGACACGGCCCCGACUCCUUCGGGAGGCAGCAAUGAGGGAUAUUGCACAAUGGGGGAAACCCUGAUGCAGCGACGCCGCGUGGGUGAGGAAGUCCUGG
rnacentral:rRNA from 1 species